rnacentral:rRNA from 1 species
CCUACGGGGGGCAGCAGUGAGGAAUAUUGGUCAAUGGGCGGGAGCCUGAACCAGCCAAGCCGCGUGAGGGAAGAAGGUACAGCGUAUCGUAAACCUCUUUUGUCAGGGAACAAAGGCGGGGACUAGUCCCCGGAUGAGGGUACCUGAAGAAAAAGCAUCGGCUAACUCCGUGCCAGCAGCCGCGGUAAUACGGAGGAGGCGAGCGUUAUCCGGAUUUAUGGGGUUUAAAGGGUGGGCAGGCGGCCUGUUAAGUCAGCGGUAAAAGCGCGGGGCUCAACCCCGGAGAGCCGUUGAAACUGGCGGGCUGGAGUUGGAGAGAGGUACGCGGAAUGCGCGGUGUAGCGGUGAAAUGCUUAGAUAUCGCGCAGAACCCCGAUUGCGAAGGCAGCGUACCGGCUCCACACUGACGCUGAGGCACGAAAGCGUGGGUAUCGAACAGGAUUAGAUACCCUAGUAGUC